GUCUCUGGCCAUACAAUCCUGAAUGCGCCUGAUCUCAUCUGAUCACAGAAAGUAAGCAGGGUUGGGCCUGUUCAGUAUUUGGAUGGAAGAACUC
rnacentral:rRNA from 1 species